rnacentral:rRNA from 1 species
GACGAACGCUGGCGGCGUGCUUAACACAUGCAGGUCGAACGGAAAGGCCCUGCUUUUGUGGGGUGCUCGAGUGGCGAACGGGUGAGUAACACGUGAGUAACCUGCCCUUGACUUUGGGAUAACUUCAGGAAACUGGGGCUAAUACCGGAUAGGAGCUCCUGCUGCAUGGUGGGGGUUGGAAAGUUUCGGCGGUUGGGGAUGGACUCGCGGCUUAUCAGCUUGUUGGUGGGGUAGUGGCUUACCAAGGCUUUGACGGGUAGCCGGCCUGAGAGGGUGACCGGCCACAUUGGGACUGAGAUACGGCCCAGACUCCUACGGGAGGCAGCAGUGGGGAAUAUUGCACAAUGGGCGGAAGCCUGAUGCAGCAACGCCGCGCGCGGGAUGACGGCCUUCGGGUUGUAAACCGCUUUCGCCUGUGACGAAGCGUGAGUGACGGUAAUGGGUAAAGAAGCACCGGCUAACUACGUG